rnacentral:rRNA from 1 species
AUUGAACGCUGGCGGCAGGCCUAACACAUGCACGUCGAACGCGUGGCGGACGGGUGAGUAAUGUCUGGGAAACUGCCCGAUGGAGGGGGAUAACUACUGGAACCGGUAGCUAAUACCGCAUACCAUCGGAUGUGCCCAGAUGGGAUUAGCUAGUAGGGGGGGUAAUGGCUAACCUAGGCGACGAUCCCUAGCUGGUCUGAGAGGAUGACCAGACACACGGGAACUGAGACACGGUCCAGAAUACUACGGGAGGCAGCAGGGGGGAAUAUUGCACAAUGGGCUCAAGCCUGAUGCAGCCAUGCCGCGGGUAUGAAGAAGGCCUUCGGGUUGUAAAGUACUUUCAGCGAGGAGGCGUUACUCGCAGAAGAAGCACCGGCUAACUCCGUGCCAGCAGCAGCGGUAAUAC